rnacentral:lncRNA from 1 species
AAAAAUUAAUUACUAAAAAUAAGGGUUAAUUACAUACAGCUUUCUGUAAAAAUAUCAAAUAGUAAAUAUAUCUCUACAAAGUUAAACUUUUUCAUAUUUAUUCCUACAAAAGUUCAAAUAUUUUUAAUACACUUAUUAUUGUUAGAAUCCGUAGAAAAAUAUACUUAACCAUAGGUAAAAUACCUAAUCUUGAUCAGCGAAUGAGGUAAAUUGACCUUUUUACCCCUCUUAUAUUAUUUGUAAUGGUAAAAAGAAGAAGAUGACCGUCGAAAUUUUUUUUAUAGGACAUUUUUGUAUAAUUCUAACAAUUGAGACUCUAGAAAGAAUAUAUUUAUUAUGAUAAAAAUAUUAUUUAAAAAAUAAGUAUUAUUUUAACAGUAACAAAAUAGAAGGGCAAAUGUGAAUAUCACUGGACUUUUAUAAGGAUAAAUAUGAAAAGUUGAACUUUGUGGGGAUGUAUUUGCUAUUCGAUAUAUUUAUAGAAAGCUACAUGCAAUUAACUCUAAAAAUAAAAUUUGUUGGGUGGAGGGGACAGGGGACAUCGUGGGU